UACGAAGGGGGCUAGCGUUGCUCGGAAUUACUGGGCGUAAAGGGCGCGUAGGCGGUUUGCCAAGUCAGGCGUGAAAUUCCUGGGCUCAACCUGGGGGCUGCGCUUGAGACUGGCGGACUAGAGGAUGGAAGAGGCUCGUGGAAUUCCCAGUGUAGAGGUGAAAUUCGUAGAUAUUGGGAAGAACACCGGUGGCGAAGGCGGCGAGCUGGUCCAUUACUGACGCUGAGGCGCGACAGCGUGGGGAGCAAACAGGAUUAGAUACCCUGGUAGUCCACGCCGUAAACGAUGUGCGCUGGAUGUUGGUGCCCUUAGGGCAUCAGUGUCGUAGCUAACGCGGUAAGCGCACCGCCUGGGGAGUACGGCCGCAAGGUUGAA
rnacentral:rRNA from 1 species